GUCAGGAUGGCCGAGUGGUCUAAGGCGCCAGACUCAAGGUGUUUACCUUCCCUGCGGGCGUUCUGGUCUCUGAAUAGAGGCGUGGGUUCGAAUCCCACUUCUGACA
rnacentral:tRNA from 2 species